GCCUUAGUGGUGUAACGGUAGCACACUCCGCCCGUAUUCGAGAGGUUCAGGAUCGAGUCAUGACCAGGGCA
rnacentral:tRNA from 1 species